UCAGACUGAACGCUGGCGGCAUGCCUAACACAUGCAAGUCGCACGGGGGUAGCAAUACUCUAGUGGCGGACGGGUGAGUAACGCGUAGGAAUCUGCCCUGCAGAGGGGGACAACCUGGGGAAACCCAGGCUAAUACCGCAUACGCUCGCAGGAGGAAAGCGGGGGAUCUUCGGACCUCGCACUGUUGGAAUUAACCUACGUUCCGAUUAGCUAGUUGGUGGGGUAAAGGCCUACCAAGGCGAUGAUCGGUAGCUGGUCUGAGAGGACGACCAGCCACACUGGGACUGAGACACGGCCCAGACUCCUACGGGAGGCAGCAGAGGGGAAUAUUGGACAAUGGGCGCAAGCCUGAUCCAGCAAUGCCGCGUGGGUGAAGACGGUCUGCGGAUUGUAAAGCCCUUUAGGCGGGGAGGAACGUCGUCGUGCGAACAGUGCGGCGAUCUGACGUUACCCGCAGAAUAAGCACCGGCUAACUCCGUGCCAGCAGCCGCGGUAAUACGGAGGGUGCGAGCGUUAAUCGGAAUUACUGGGCGUAAAGCGUGCGUAGGCGGAUGGGUCAGUCAGCCGUGAAAGCCCCGGGCUCAACCUGGGAACGGCGGUUGAGACGGCCCGUCUCGAGUGGGCUAGAGGAUCGUGGAAUUCCGGGUGUAGCGGUGAAAUGCGUAGAGAUCCGGAGGAACACCGAUGGCGAAGGCAGCGAUCUGGGGCCACACUGACGCUGAGGCACGAAAGCGUGGGGAGCAAACAGGAUUAGAUAACCUGGUAGUCCAACCCCGGGUAAACGAACGAGCACUAGACGCUGGGGGGGUGACCUUUCGGUGUCGUAGCUACGCGCUAAGUGCUCCGCCUGGGGAGUACGGCCGCAAGGUUGAAACUCAAAGGAAUUGACGGGGGCCCGCACAAGCGGUGGAGCAUGUGGUUUAAUUCGAUGCAACGCGCAGAACCUUACCUGGCCUUGACAUCUGG
rnacentral:rRNA from 1 species